ACGAACGCUGGCGGCGUGCCUAAUACAUGCAAGUCGAGCGGAAUGAAGAAGAAGCUUGCUUCUUCUGAUUUUAGCGGCGGACGGGUGAGUAACACGUGGGCAACCUGCCCUGUAGACUGGGAUAACAUCGAGAAAUCGGUGCUAAUACCGGAUAACUGUUGGAACUGCAUAGUUCUAACUUAAAAGAUGGCUCCGGCUAUCACUAUAGGAUGGGCCCGCGGCGCAUUAGCUAGUUGGUAAGGUAAUGGCUUACCAAGGCGACGAUGCGUAGCCGACCUGAGAGGGUGAUCGGCCACACUGGGACUGAGACACGGCCCAGACUCCUACGGGAGGCAGCAGUAGGGAAUCUUCCGCAAUGGACGAAAGUCUGACGGAGCAACGCCGCGUGAGUGAUGAAGGUUUUCGGAUCGUAAAGCUCUGUUGUUAGGAAAGAACAAGUGCCGUUCGAAUAGGGCGGCACCUUGACGGUACCUAACCAGAAAGCCACGGCUAACUACGUG
rnacentral:rRNA from 1 species